GGUCGCUUAGCUCAGUUGGUUAGAGCGUGGUGCUAAUAGCUUCUAGAAGAUUAUAAUCUAUCAGGAGUUCUCCCUCCAAUGAGUUUAUAAACUCCUCUUGUGUGGAAAAAGAGACGCCAAGGUCGGCGGUUCGACCCCGCCAGUGAUCA